rnacentral:rRNA from 1 species
GGCGGCGUGCUUAACACAUGCAAGUCGAGCGGAAAGGCCCUUCGGGGGUACUCGAGCGGCGAACGGGUGAGUAACACGUGAGUAACCUGCCCCUGACUCUGGGAUAAGCCCGGGAAACUGGGUCUAAUACCGGAUAUGACCGCCCUCGGCAUCGGGUGGUGGUGGAAAGUUUUUUCGGUUGGGGAUGGACUCGCGGCCUAUCAGCUUGUUGGUGGGGUAGUGGCCUACCAAGGCGACGACGGGUAGCCGGCCUGAGAGGGCGACCGGCCACACUGGGACUGAGACACGGCCCAGACUCCUACGGGAGGCAGCAGUGGGGAAUAUUGCGCAAUGGGCGGAAGCCUGAGCCAGCGACGCCGCGUGGGGGAUGACGGCCUUCGGGUUGUAAACCUCUUUCAGCAGGGACGAAGUUGACGUGUACCUGCAGAAGAAGCGCCGGCUAACUACGUGCCAGCAGCCGCGGUAAUACGUAGGGCGCAAGCGUUGUCCGGAAUUAUUGGGCGUAAAGAGCUCGUAGGUGGCUGGUCGCGUCUGCCGUGAAAGCCCGCAGCUUAACUGCGGGUCUGCGGUGGAUACGGGCCGGCUAGAGGUAGGUAGGGGCAAGUGGAAUUCCUGGUGUAGCGGUGAAAUGCGCAGAUAUCAGGAGGAACACCGGUGGCGAAGGCGGUUCUCUGGGCCUUACCUGACGCUGAGGAGCGAAAGCGUGGGGAGCGAACAGGAUUAGAUACCCUGGUAGUCCACGCUGUAAACGUUGGGCGCUAGGUGUGGGGAUCUUCCACGAUUCCGUGCCGGAGCUAACGCAUUAAGCGCCCCGCCUGGGGAGUACGGCCGC